UACGUAGGGUGCGAGCGUUGUCCGGAAUUAUUGGGCGUAAAAGAGCUCGUAGGCGGUUUGUCGCGUCUGCCGUGAAAGUCCGGGGGCUCAACUCCGGAUCUGCGGUGGGUACGGGGCAGACUAGAGUGAUGUAGGGGGAGACUGGAAUUCCUGGUGUAGCGGUGAAAAUGCGCAGAUAUCAGGAGGAACACCGAUGGCGAAGGCAGGUCUCUGGGCAUUAACUGACGCUGAGGAGCGAAAAGCGUGGGGAGCAAACAGG
rnacentral:rRNA from 1 species